rnacentral:rRNA from 1 species
UACGUAGGGUGCAAGCGUUUGUCCGGAAUUAUUGGGCGUAAAGAGCUCGUAGGCGGUCCGUCACGUCGGGAGUGAAAACUCGGGGCUCAACCCCGAGCCUGCUUUCGAUACGGGCGGACUAGAGGUAGGUAGGGGAGAACGGAAUUCCUGGUGUAGCGGUGGAAUGCGCAGAUAUCAGGAGGAACACCGGUGGCGAAGGCGGGUCUCUGGGCCGAUACUGACGCUGAGGAGCGAAAGCGUGGGGAGCGAACAGG